rnacentral:rRNA from 1 species
AGUCGAACGAAGUAGCAAUACUUAGUGGCAGACGGGUGAGUAACAUGUAGGUAUCUGCCCUUUGGCCUGGAAUAACACGAGGAAACUUGUGCUAAUACCGGAUAAGUCUUUACGGAGAAAGCUUUAUGCACCAUUGGAUGAGCCUGCACUUGAUUAGUUUGUUGGUGGGGUAAUGGCCUACCAAGACUGUGAUCAAUAGCUGAUUUGAGAGGAUGAUCAGCCACAUUGGGACUGAGACACGGCCCAAACUCCUACGGGAGGCAGCAGUGGGGAAUCUUGCACAAUGGAGGAAACUCUGAUGCAGCGAUGCCGCGUGAGUGAAGAAGGCCCUUGGGUUGUAAAGCUCUUUCGUCGGGGAAGAAAAUGACUGUACCCGAAUAAG